ACGCCACUGCCCAGGUCGACUACCACUCCCGGGCACCUCAGGAAGCGAACCAGAGACUGUCCCCUCCGCCAGCAUCCUAGAAGGCCAGGAAAGAGCCGAGCUGAGCGCCUCCUUAAAGCUGCGCAGACUGCCCUCAAUCCCUCCCCCCUGGAGCUCCAACUGGUAGUCCCCUGCAUCAGCCUUGCCCAGCUUCUCCUUUCCUCCUCAGCUCAACUCCUGCUUGCCCUUCGGGAGACCCACCCUGGCCACCCUACAGAGAAGGUGCCCUUACCUGUGCCCGGGUGGGGUGCGGGGUCACAGGCCUGUCAUGUGUGAAUCAAUGUCUUCAGUUGCCCUGAAGUAGAGCGUAUCUUGUUGACCUUGAACUUCGGCAUUGAAGGACCCCUCUCCUGAGCUCUCAGCAUCACCUUUGGAGACGCCUAAUAGAAUGUGAGCAUCGUGUACUCUUCCUUCCAUUGCUCACAAAUGUGGCUGCUGCUUGCACACCAAGAACCAUCCUUAUCAUGUAGGAGGCACUGGACAUCACUGAUUAAGGAGUAGCAUAUGUAAGCCUGGCUUAUUCACAGGAGUGACUCAUGCCCUGGGACACAAGGCCUUGUCUAGUGUCACAACCCCUUUAGGCAACUAGAUCCUUGUCUUUGAGUAUAAAUGCUUCAGGAGAAACAGCAAUGAUAACCAGCUGCAGACUUGACAAGAAUAAUGAUGCUGUAUGGAUCGGGGAAGUGGCUCAGUUGGACGGUUCUUGCCGUGCAAGCAGGAGAAGCUGAGUUUGGAUCCCAACACGCAGAGAAAAGCACCACAGCGUACGUGCAUGACCCCUGCACUGGGGCAGGCGGUGAAGCACAGAGAAAGAAGGGUCCCUGGAAUGUGUUGGCCAUGCAGGCAGGCCAAAAUGCUAAGCUUCAGGAGCAGUGAGCGUAUUGGUUACUUCUCUGUUGCUGUGACCAAACACCAUAACUUAAAGAAGGAAGAGUUUAUGUAGGGGCUACAGUCCCAGAGGAGGAGAAAUGGUAUCAGAAGACCAAAACAGGAAGCUAAGAAAUCAUAGCUUCAACUGUAAACAAAAAGUAGAAAGCAAAAAUGUAUGGAUGAAGCUAUGAACCCUCAAAACUGUCCCCAAUGACAUAUUUCUUCCAACAAGGCUGUUUUACCCCACUAAACAUCACUACAACCAAGUAUUC
ensembl:lincRNA 5730420D15Rik RIKEN cDNA 5730420D15 gene